UACGAGAGGCCCAAACGUUAUUCGGAUUUACUGGGCUUAAAGAGUUCGUAGGCGGCGCAGAAAGUAGGGUGUGAAAGCCCUCGGCUCAACCGAGGAAUUGCGCCCUAAACUACUGUGCUUGAGGAAGCUAGAGGUGAGCAGAACAGAUGGUGGAGCGGUGAAAUGCGUUGAUAUCAUCUGGAAUACCGGAGGCGAAGGCGGCUCACUGGGGCUUUUCUGACGCUGAGGAACGGAAAGCCAGGGUAGCGAACGGGG
rnacentral:rRNA from 1 species